rnacentral:misc_RNA from 1 species
CCCUACAUACAUUAACAUGGAAUUGGCUUAAACUUAGUAUUUGUGUUAUACAUAACAAGGUAAAUAAUGGGAGUUAAGUCAGCUUCUAAAAUGUAUAUAACUUAAAGUGAUCUCUCGUACGCAAUGUAAUAUUAAGACGAAUUUUAUUAUAAGUAAUAAUUUUACCUAAUUAGCUAAUCUAUCAGAUACUAUGAAAACUUAGUUAACCUUCAGUUAACAACAGCAAAAAUAGUUUUGGUAUAAAUCAUGUCCGCGUGGAAUCGUGCCAAGAAUGCUGGCAGCAUCUCCCCGUUGAAUCGCUAUACCGGCCCUCUCACCAGUCCUCUUAUCACCAGUGGAGGUAAAAAUUCUUAGCACUGCUACUCCAAGAUCCAAGUGUCGACUGCAAACGGCAUAAAGAUGUAAUUAUACGUUUAAUUAAAAUGUACGUAUUGUAUAUAAUUAAUAUGUCACGGUUUCGAUUUGUAAAAAUAUUUGUUUCCGGUCUUGAUGUGUGUUCUUGUGGGUCUCCGCAUCCUGCCUCGGAGAGUAUGCAUCUCUUGUCAUUUUUUUCUCACCAAAUUGUACAUAAACUGUCAUUGUAACAACUUUUUGUUUAAUUUUAUUUCUGAUCUGUUGUUUUUUUUUUCUCUUUUUUUUUUACUACGUAAAAGUGUUUGAUUAUAUGUAUGCAAGAAGUAAUAAAGAAAUAAAUAAAUAAACAUUCUUACAUUUCUAUUUCCGGUGUUUUUUUG